UGAUUUAUUACGGUAAAGGUAUGGUGCCGUGGCUAGCUGACGUUUUCAGAGCCGGAUUGGGAUGGAGAACCAGACAGGUUGGGAAUAAUGUGAGAAGCAGUGCAGGGCACCUCCGCCAAUGGGAAAUCCCAGGGAGGAAUCACUGAAGCAAUUAUGUCAUUAAUCCUCGGAUUUUUGAUUGUGAUUGGAUUUUAUUCUGUGGAAAUAAGUGGAGAAUAAAAUGUAAUCACAUUUAAGGCCCCUUUGUUAUCGACUGAGUGAAAAGGCGGUGCCAUUGCGAAGUUGGAAAAAACUAGUCACUAAUAAAUUAUUAAUAUUGCAAUAUUUAUUUUCUUUUCUAAAUAAAUAAAAUAAGGCCCAUUCAAUGAAAAAUCACGUGAAUUCCUUCCAUUGCUUCAAAACUUAAAAAUAAUAAAACAGAUAUCACCUCCUCUUUACAAAAUAAAUUAAUACAGGCUGAUAAACAAAUGUGGGAGCUGCAGAAAAAUGUAAUCAAACGCACAUUUGAUUUCUUAUCACUUUUUUUAUUCCAUUUUCAUCUAGAAAUCAUGUUGAAUUGCAUUGUUUGUCAUAUAAUAAAUUGUAUACAUUAUAAUACGUGUACAGCCGACGGAGGAAAAAAAUAUCUAUUACAUCUAGGUGUCUAUAAAAUGCAUGAAAAUAAUGCAUCUGGUUUUAUUCUAAUAUCUUGUUAAUUCAUUAAUAAUUGAUAAUAACUAUUGGAUUACAGUAAUUCGUCGAGACACAUACGCGAGGAAGAGAUAUGCAAGAAGUGGUUAGAGGGUUGUUGUUGUUUUUUUUUUUUCAGGAGUAAUGGUUGGGAAGGGGACACGUGGAGCAGUCUCGGUAAUUAUCCAAUGGAUGUUCUCCUAUCGUUAAUGAGGACUAGUUCUUCAUAUAUUUUUUUUUCCAUUAUUUUUUCUUCGCUGGAAUUUUGUAAAAUACGUUUUAUGGUCUGAAGACUUGCAUACAUAAUUAUAUUGUCUUUACAGGGUCCGUAUUACAAAUGUUGUUUAUUUCAUUUUUUCCAUUGACACGCAUAAACAUCAUUGCUAUCAUGCAACUGUUGAAAAUGCAAAAAUUCUUAUGUUUCGAUUAAUCUCAGGGACACACUAACGUUAAAACCACUCAAUCCUUGUAUCAUUAAUCUAACAAAAUUACUCGACAUUAAAUCUCAAUAAUUUUCAAUUACUCCAACCAAAUAUUAAAUCUAUAAAAAACGAUUAAAAAUCGUAUAAUCCUCAAUGUUUACAACUUUAAAAACAUUUUUGAAAAUUUCAAUAAACAACACGUUGAUUGGUCUAAUAAUUUUACUAUCAAUCUCAUCGCUAUUGUGAGUGAGCUAACAUCAAUUUUUCAUUUGAGAUUCAUCGAUUUAUGUUUUCAUAAUUCAUCGGGAAAUUGAGGAGAAAAUAAUCUUAGAAUUAUUGAUAAUAGAACGAAAAAAAUUAUCAGUACCCAUCGUGUGUGACGCGGAAGGUCUCCUCAUGCUGAGUAUUUACAAAUGUAUUACCGUGGAAAUUGUCGAAAAAUUGUCUCACACUCUCAGUAAGGCAAAAAUCUAAAUUUAUGGUUUGUCAUUUUUCUUUCACUCGAUUUACCGUUUACACUAGUCAAAUAUUAUUAUUUUUUUUUAUUAUUUUCCAUUGAGUCAUUAAUAUUAAGUUUUAUGAAUUGAGAUGUUUCGAGAGGAACGAUGAUUUCCAGUGAGCUUCAAUGAGUGUCUACUCACAAGGCGAGUCCAAG